UGCCUCAUUCAGAAUAAUAGUAAUUCCAUGCGGUUGCCUCUCUGCACUCCCUUCAAGCACUCAUGACCUGCACCUUGCUUCACAGCAACUUGAGUGCGUGCCAUCUCUUGUUCCAGGCUGGGGUCCCCGGAGCAGGGAGAACGUCUACUUCACCUGCUCAUCCUGUGUCUUACCAUUGGAAAAAGAAGAAGGGGGAGUAGAGGUCCCCGAAUUCCACUGAAGACACAACUGGGCAGUGAUAUACAUUGCUUCCACUCAUAUCCCAUGGAGAACCCCAUCGUAUGGUCCCACCUAGGAGCGCUGUGCUAGAGCCCACUUCUAUGGCAUGUGAGGGCCCCGUGUGUACAUUUCCUCCCAGCUCCAUGUUCUAAGAGCUGAUUAAAAUUUACCAGUAAUCCACAGCACCUAGCUGCAAGAGAAGCUAGAAGAUGUAGUCUUCCUUUUUUUUCUGGACAGCCAUAUUUCCAGCUAGCAAUUCUGUAUGCAGGAACAAGGUUUUGUAGUUCUAUAGAAGCUACAAAUGGAUAUUUGGAAAUCAUUAGAAGUCUCUGUAAACAUGACAUCAUCUGGAAAUAGGAAAAGGAAAAUUGGAAAACCUGUUUUUAACUGUGAGAAAACAGAUCUACCUAUAAGUGUGCAUAGGUGAGGCUUAUUGCUGCCAUCUCCAGCCGUGGAGCACCGUGCGAGACAGAAGUUCAGCUUAUUUGCGUGGACUCAAGUAUAGACAUCUGGGUGGAGGUUGCAUGACUCACAUUCUGCCCUGACUGUUGGCAUUAUGCAGAAAUGCAGCACUGGUUCUCUCCAUGGCAAGUGUCCAGGCAGGAGCCUAAUGAUCACUUACAAUGUCUCCAAAGAGGUUACCCUGCCCAUCUCCAAGUUCAUCCUUCAGCCUCAAGCACGAUUCUCCUGAUCCCUCGAUUCUUAGGGCUUCCAGUACUCUCCUUUGCUGCACUCAGCACAGUUGUAAUUAUGAGUACAAUCAUUUGGCUCAUGUCCGUCUCCUCUACUGGAGUGUAGAAGCGACCACAUGUGGCCUCGGUCCCUAGGGUCCUAGUCCAAGAGGCUUUCCUUGAUUUUCCAAGACUGUGUAGGUCUCCCAUGGAACCCUGUCCUCACCCCACAUGGCACUGUCGCCAGUGUACUUUAAUAACCAUUGUGUCCGCUGUGUGGAGCAGAAGGCACGGUCACUGUGUGUACCCAGGAACACAUGGGGGGGAAUGAGGGACAGAUGAUGGGCUUGUAAGCUUGUAAACGGCUCACGACAAUUCUUCUUUAGAAACAAGGUAUUUCGGGGCGCCUGGGUGGCUCAGUUGGUUAGGCGACUGCCUUCGGCUCAGGUCAUGAUCCUGGAGUCCCUGGAUCGAGUUCCGCAUCGGGCUCCCUGCUCGGCGGGGAGCCUGCUUCUCCCUCUGACCCUCCCCCCUCUCAUGUGCUCUCUGUCUCUCUCAUUCUGUCUCAAGUAAAUAAAUAAAAUCUUAAAAAAAAAAAAAAAAAGAAAAAAGAAACAAGGUAUUUCGAUACAAAACAGAACAGAAAGCAAGUGAAGGAAGUGGUACGAAAUACUACCAGACACUGAGGGGAACUGAACUUGAUUCCAAGCUUCCUGGAAACAAAGUAUAAAAAGAGAACAUCCUGGGUUACUGGAUUUUCUUUUUCUAAUAGGACAAAACACGUGAAGUCCUCUGCAGAAGCCAAGUUUUCCCAGUGAUUGAUUAAAAUGAGACUAUUGUUUGCUCCCAGUUAAUGUGUAAGCAC